ACCGGCGGCUCGAGUGGUGGCCACUAUUACUGGGCUUAAAGCGUUCGUAGCUGGCUUGUUAAGUCUCUGGGGAAAUCUUCCGGCUCAACCGGAAGGCGUCUCAGGGAUACUGGCAGGCUAGGGACCGGAAGAGGUGAGAGGUACUCCAGGGGUAGGAGUGAAAUGGUGAAAUCCGUGGGGGAGCACCGGUGGCGAAGGCGGCUCACCGGGACGGAACUGACGGUGAGGAAUGAAAGCUGGGGGAGCAAACAG
rnacentral:rRNA from 1 species